rnacentral:rRNA from 1 species
UUAAGCGACUAAGCGUACACGGUGGAUGCCCUGGCAGUCAGAGGCGAUGAAGGGCGUGCUAAUCUGCGAUAAGCGCCGGUAAGGUGAUAUGAACCGUUAUAACCGGCGAUACCCGAAUGGGGAAACCCAGUGUGACUCGUCACACUAUCAUUAACUGAAUCCAUAGGUUAAUGAGGCGAACCGGGGGAACUGAAACAUCUAAGUACCCCGAGGAAAAGAAAUCAACCGAGAUUCCCCCAGUAGCGGCGAGCGAACGGGGAGGAGCCCAGAGCCUGAAUCAGCAUGUGUGUUAGUGGAAGCGUCUGGAAAGGCGCGCGAUACAGGGUGACAGCCCCGUACACAAAAGCGCAUGUGCUGUGAGCUCGAUGAGUAGGGCGGGACACGUGGUAUCCUGUCUGAAUAUGGGGGGACCAUCCUCCAAGGCUAAAUACUCCUGACUGACCGAUAGUGAACCAGUACCGUGAGGGAAAGGCGAAAAGAACCCCGGCGAGGGGAGUGAAAAAGAACCUGAAACCGUGUACGUACAAGCAGUGGGAGC